rnacentral:rRNA from 1 species
CACGCCAUAAACGAUGUCAACUAGUUGUUGGGUUCCUUGAGGACUUAGUAACGCAGCUAACGCAUUAAGUUGACCGCCUGGGGAGUACGGCCGCAAGGUUAAAACUCAAAUGAAUUGACGGGGGCCCGCACAAGCGGUGGAGCAUGUGGUUUAAUUCGAAGCAACGCGAAGAACCUUACCUGGUCUUGACAUGUAGCGAACUUUCUAGAGAUAGAUUGGUGCCUUCGGGAACGCUAACACAGGUGC